CGAAGCAACGCGAAGAACCUUACCAGGUCUUGACAUCCCGAUGCUAUUUCUAGAGAUAGAAAGUUACUUCGGUACAUCGGUGACAGGUGGUGCAUGGUUGUCGUCAGCUCGUGUCGUGAGAUGUUGGGUUAAGUCCCGCAACGAGCGCAACCCCUAUUGUUAGUUGCCAUCACUCAGUUGGGCACUCUAGCGAGACUGCCGGUAAUAAACCGGAGGAAGUGGGGAUGACGUCAAAUCAUCAUGCCCCUUAUGACCUGGGCUACACACGUGCUACAAUGGUUGGUACAACGAGUUGCGAGUCGGUGACGGCGAGCUAAUCUCUUAAAGCCAAUCUCAGUUCGGAUUGUAGGCUGCAACUCGCCUACAUGAAGUCGGAAUCGCUAGUAAUCGCGGAUCAGCACGCCGCGGUGAAUACGUUCCCGGGCCUU
rnacentral:rRNA from 1 species